rnacentral:rRNA from 1 species
CCUACGGGAGGCAGCAGUGGGGAAUAUUGCACAAUGGGGGAAACCCUGAUGCAGCGACGCCGCGUGAGUGAAGAAGUAUUUCGGUAUGUAAAGCUCUAUCAGCAGGAACGAGACAAGACGGUACCUGACUAAGAAGCCCCGGCUAACUACGUGCCAGCAGCCGCGGUAAUACGGAGGGGGCAAGCGUUAUCCGGAAUCACUGGGUGUAAAGGGAGCGUAGACGGCUGAGCAAGCCUGAAGUGAAAGGCGGGGGCCCAACCCCCGGACUGCUUUGGGAACUGUACGGCUGGAGUGCAGGAGAGGUAAGUGGAAUUCCUAGUGUAGCGGUGAAAUGCGUAGAUAUCAGGAGGAACACCGGUGGCGAAGGCGGCCUGCUGGACUGCGACUGACGUUGAGGCCCGAAAGCGUGGGGAGCAAACAGGAUUAGAUACCCGAGUAGUC